CCGGCAGAUCUAUUCCCCUAAUAAAGGCUUGUUGUGGCCUGGUCUGGUCUUGGUCUUCGGCCUUUUACCUGACAGAAGAUGGCCCUCCUGACCUAUCAGACGCACACACACACACACACACACACACACACACACACACACGCAUUUGUGGAUUCAGCCAACUUCCAGUGAUGCACAAAGUAGUUGGGCCUAUUAUGGUUAUGCCUGUAUUGCAUAUGGCAGAUAACGCCACAGCAAAGCCGUCAUGGCGGAGGGCUUGGUUGAGCAAAGCUGCUCACUUCACAGCAGCCAGAGAACAGAACAAGAGCAAGAGACAGCGCAAAGGUCCACUUCAGAGAACCACUGACGGCUACUCUGAUCUGCACAAGGAAGCAGGGCACAAGGAAGGUAUUUAACAUUUCCAGAAGCAGACUUCAAUUAAAGACAGACAGAAGUUACUGUGUAAAGCCAGCUCCUUGUGCUGAUGCAUAACACUCUGGGAUGUGAUUUCAACAUCUUCACUGGUUCCCUCGAGCUCUGUGUAAAGGAGAGGAGACAGCAGGAGGAGCUGAAAUCAGAGAAGGCGCUCCACCGGAAGUCGGAGGAGGUGGUGCCUGGCCAGUGAAGCCCCCAGAGACAUAGAGGAGCUCCCCAAGGCUGUCUCACGUGUGCCACUUUAAGAGGCGGAGGCCAUUUUAAGUUACUAGUAAGGAAAAUGACGGCCCAACAGACAGAAGACCUAGGCGUGGGGGGCUGACAGGCGGGCUUCACGGCCCCGGGCCUGGAGUGAGUGAGGAGGUCGGAC
ensembl:lncRNA